rnacentral:rRNA from 1 species
CCUACGGGAGGCUGCAGUGAGGAAUAUUGGUCAAUGGCCGGAAGUCUGAACCAGCCAAGCCGCGUGAAGGACGAAGGUGCUAAGCAUUGUAAACUUCUUUUGUCGAGGCACACAAUAAGGCUCGAGAGCCGUACCGAGUGUACUUGAAGAAAAAGCAUCGGCUAACUCCGUGCCAACAGCCGCGGUAAUACGGUAGGUUCGGGCGUUAUCCGGAUUUUUUGGGGUUAAAGGGAGCGGAGGCCGAAUGGCAAGCGUACGGUGAAAUGUCCGGGGUUAACCCUGGCCUGGCCGUGCGAACUGGUGUGCUUGAGUGCGCGGAAGGAAGGCGGAAUUCGUGGUGUAGCGGUGAAAUGCUUAGAUAUGACGAAGAACCCCGAUUGCGAAGGCAGCUUGCUGGAGCGGAACUGACGCUGAUGCUCGAAAGCGUGGGUAUCGAACAGGAUUAGAUACCCUAGUAGUC